GUGUCAGCAGCCGCGGUAAGACAGAGGAGGCUAGCGUUGUUCGGAAUCACUGGGCUUAAAGCGGGUGUAGGCGGCCUGGCAAGUGUCGUGUGAAAGCCCCCGGCUCAACCGGGGAAUUGCAUGGCAAACUGCCAGGCUUGAGGUCGGUAGGGGUGCCUGGAACUCUCGGUGGAGCGGUGAAAUGCGUAGAUAUCGAGAGGAACGCCGGAGGCGAAAGCGGGGCACUGGGCCGAUUCUGACGCUGAGACCCGAAAGCGUGGGGAGCAAACAGGAUUAGAUACCCUGGUAGGCCACGCCGUAAACGAUGAGAACUAGGUGUAGCGGGUAUUGACCCCUGCUGUGCCGAAGCUAACGCAUUAAGUGCCCCGCCUGGGGAGUACGGUCGCAAGGCUGAAACUUAAAUGAAUUGACGGGG
rnacentral:rRNA from 1 species